AGCAGCGUGGCUCAGUGUGGAAAGAGCUUGGGCUUGGGACCCAGAGGUCGUGGGUUUGAAUCCCAGCUCUGCCA
rnacentral:tRNA from 1 species